GACGAACGCUGGCGGCGUGCUUAACACAUGCAAGUCGAACGGAAAGGCCCUGCUUUUGUGGGGUGCUCGAGUGGCGAACGGGUGAGUAACACGUGAGUAACCUGCCCUUGACUUUGGGAUAACUUCAGGAAACUGGGGCUAAUACCGGAUAGGAGCUCCUGCUGCAUGGUGGGGGUUGGAAAGUUUCGGCGGUUGGGGAUGGACUCGCGGCUUAUCAGCUUGUUGGUGGGGUAGUGGCGUACCAAGGCUUUGACGGGUAGCCGGCCUGAGAGGGUGACCGGCCACAUUGGGACUGAGAUACGGCCCAGACUCCUACGGGAGGAAGCAGUGGGGAAUAUUGCACAAUGGGCGGAAGCCUGAUGCAGCAACGCCGCGUGCGGGAUGACGGCCUUCGGGUUGGAAACCGCUUUCGCCUGUGACGAAGCGUGAGUGACGGUAAUGGGCAAAGAAGCACCGGCUAACUACGU
rnacentral:rRNA from 1 species